rnacentral:rRNA from 1 species
UGGGGAAUAUUGGACAAUGGGCGAAAGCCUGAUCCAGCAAUGCCGCGUGAGUGAUGAAGGCCUUAGGGUUGUAAAGCUCUUUUACCCGGGAUGAUAAUGACAGUACCGGGAGAAUAAGCCCCGGCUAACUCCGUGCCAGCAGCCGCGGUAAUACGGAGGGGGCUAGCGUUGUUCGGAAUUACUGGGCGUAAAGCGCACGUAGGCGGCUUUGUAAGUUAGAGGUGAAAGCCCGGAGCUCAACUCCGGAACUGCCUUUAAGACUGCAUCGCUUGAACGUCGGAGAGGUAAGUGGAAUUCCGAGUGUAGAGGUGAAAUUCGUAGAUAUUCGGAAGAACACCAGUGGCGAAGGCGACUUACUGGACGACUGUUGACGCUGAGGUGCGAAAGCGUGGGGAGCAAACA